AACGAACGCUGGCGGCAUGCCUAACACAUGCAAGUCGAACGAGACCUUCGGGUCUAGUGGCGCACGGGUGCGUAACGCGUGGGAACCUGCCCUUAGGUUCGGAAUAACUCCCCGAAAGGGGUGCUAAUACCGGAUAAUGUCUUCGGACCAAAGAUUUAUCGCCUUUGGAUGGGCCCGCGUUGGAUUAGCUAGUUGGUAGGGUAAAAGCCUACCAAGGCGACGAUCCAUAGCUGGUCUGAGAGGAUGAUCAGCCACGCUGGGACUGAGACACGGCCCAGACUCCUACGGGAGGCAGCAGUGGGGAAUAUUGGACAAUGGGCGAAAGCCUGAUCCAGCAAUGCCGCGUGAGUGAUGAAGGCCUUAGGGUUGUAAAGCUCUUUUAACCGGGAUGAUAAUGACAGUACCGGGAGAAUAAGCUCCGGCUAACUCCGUG
rnacentral:rRNA from 1 species